UGCAGUCGACGAUGAACCUCCUUCGGGAGGGGAUUAGUGGCGAACGGGUGAGUAACACGUGGGCAAUCUGCCCUGCACUCUGGGACAAGCCCUGGAAACGGGGUCUAAUACCGGAUAUGACUCGGGAGGGCAUCCUUCCGGGUGGAAAGCUCCGGCGGUGCAGGAUGAGCCCGCGGCCUAUCAGCUUGUUGGUGGGGUGAUGGCCUACCAAGGCGACGACGGGUAGCCGGCCUGAGAGGGCGACCGGCCACACUGGGACUGAGACACGGCCCAGACUCCUACGGGAGGCAGCAGUGGGGAAUAUUGCACAAUGGGCGAAAGCCUGAUGCAGCGACGCCGCGUGAGGGAUGACGGCCUUCGGGUUGUAAACCUCUUUCAGCAGGGAAGAAGCGCAAGUGACGGUACCUGCAGAAGAAGCGCCGGCUAACUACGUGCCAGCAGCCGCGGUAAUACGUAGGGCGCAAGCGUUGUCCGGAAUUAUUGGGCGUAAAGAGCUCGUAGGCGGCUUGUCGCGUCGGAUGUGAAAGCUCGGGGCUUAACCCCGGGUCUGCAUUCGAUACGGGCAGGCUAGAGUGUGGUAGGGGAGAUCGGAAUUCCUGGUGUAGCGGUGAAAUGCGCAGAUAUCAGGAGGAACACCGGUGGCGAAGGCGGAUCUCUGGGCCAUUACUGACGCUGAGGAGCGAAAGCGUGGGGAGCGAACAGGAUUAGAUACCCUGGUAGUCCACGCCGUAAACGUUGGGAACUAGGUGUUGGCGACAUUCCACGUCGUCGGUGCCG
rnacentral:rRNA from 1 species